ensembl:lncRNA
CCUGCAGACCAGGCCUGGGACUGAAAGGAACUUCGGGCUCACAGUUUGGAGCUUGGGGGUGUGGAUCUGCAACAUGUCGAGUCUAUACACACUCACAGAACCCAGGGUGAAGGAUGUAGAACUCUCGGCUCCUCCAGCACCAUGCCUGCCUGGAUACUGCCAUGCUUCCCACCAUGAUGAUAAUGGGCUGAACCUCUGAACAAGUAACAAGAUAUAGCACUCUCGACUCCUCCAGCACCAUGCCUGUCUGGACACUGCCAUGCUUCCUGCCAUGAUGAUAAUGGACAGAACCUCUGAACCUGUAAGCCAGCUCCAAUUAAAUGUUGUCCUUAUAAG